rnacentral:tRNA from 1 species
UUGGAGGGUUGGCCGAGCGGUUGAAGGCGGCGGUCUUGAAAACCGCUGUGGGCGCGAAGCCCACCGGGGGUUCGAAUCCCUCACCCUCCGC